rnacentral:rRNA from 1 species
UACGUAGGGUGCGAGCGUUGUCCGGAAUUAUUGGGCGUAAAGAGCUCGUAGGCGGUGUGUCACGUCGGCCGUGAAAACCUGCAGCUUAACUGUGGGCGUGCGGUCGAUACGGGCAUCACUGGAGUUCGGCAGGGGAGACUGGAAUUCCCGGUGUAGCGGUGAAAUGCGCAGAUAUCGGGAGGAACACCGGUGGCGAAGGCGGUUCUCUGGGCCUGUACUGACGCUGAGGAGCGAAAGCGUGGGGAGCGAACAGG